rnacentral:lncRNA from 1 species
AUCUUAUAUGUCAAGGAGUCGGUGGGAGUCUUAAUGGUCUUGAAGGUUUUCAAGAACAAAUCAAAAUAGACCUUAUUGAUCAUCACUAGCACACAAGUUGAGGUUUACAACCUAUCGUGUUGACAUUAUUUUCUUUCUAUGCCGUUCCAAUAGAGUUAAUUAUGCAUGUGAGUCCUAUAAGUUAUCAUUUGAAUGCAUAAAAGGCAAGGACCUUGAUCAAUGGAAAGUACAUUGAUAAGAAAAGGUGAGCUGCUUAACUACUUGGAAGAAAUGGUGGGCAGCUGUGCUACCAUAAGGCAAGAAAUCGAGAUUAAGAAAGUUCGAUCCAUAUGAGUUUGAAUUUGUUGUAAACCUUGGUUUUGACAAAUUCACAUGGAUAGGAACAAAUACACCGUUUAAAUCUAAGUAUCAUAAGAUUUCCUCCUUCAUGAAAAUGAUUGUGAGGAAAUACUUUCACUAAGAAAGAUUUUAAGAAGAUACUGAUUGUAAAAUUGCAUUCUCGAAUUCAAAUAUGGUUACGAUAUCCCUUUCCAUAAUUUGAAUUGUGAGGUUUGGCAAUUGUUUAGACACACAUAUGAACUAUCUAAGGCAAAGGUGUAUAAGUUUAAGAGGCCUUGAUAAAAGAUUAUCAAAUCAUUAAGUAUUAGAAACAUGGACUUAAGAAAUUCAAUAGGUAUUGUUCUUCUGGAAGUUAGCUGUUUCUGAAUACAUGUCGAAGCUAGUGGGAGCAUAAGUGUUAUGUUUAUAAUAAUCAUCAUGAUAGUGGGAACAUAAAAGUUAUGAUUGUAUGAUUAUUAAGGCACAUAUUGCAAGUUGGCAAUAUUAAUUAUAGAAAAUAAGAGUUAUACCUUGCAAAGUCGUAAGGGUUGUAAACACUACUAGAAAAAGGCCUUUUACGAUGCUCAUUGCGCGUCGUAAAACACUCAGACGACGCGCAAAUGCGCAUCAAGGAAGGCCCUGUCAUAAAGAGAGACGACGCACUUUUGUGCUUCGUCUAUAGACGACGUGCAUUUAUGACACGCAAUUACGACGCGCAGUUAUGACGCGCAAUGCGUAUCAAGGAAGGCCCUGUCAUAAAGGAAGACGACAUGCAAAUGCGUAUCGUAACCAUACGACGCAUGUGUUUUAUGACACGCAAUGCGUAUCAAGGAAGCCCCUGUCAUAAAUGAAGAUGACACGCAUUUGCGUGUCGUAAACUUCAGUAACCAUUUUCAUAUGCAUUUACGACGCGUCUUUACAAUACUCAUUUACGCAUAAUACAAAAAUAUGUAAACAAAUAUAUACCGAAACAAUCAAUUUCAUCCAAUAACAUCAUGUCAAACAAGUUAUCAAAAAAAUUUAAUACAUUGAUAUUAAGGGGAUCUAAUUGUACAUUGUUAUUAAAGGGUUUUCCCUAACUAUAUAACAUGAUACUACAUCCCUAACUAUAUAACUGGAUCCUUCGUGUCAUUGGAUUGCCACCUGGAACUUUAGAAGUACCUUAUAAGCAAGUGGGCUUUGGAAUAAAUACACCACACUCGUUGAACCCAUGCUCCGAUAAUUCUUGUGACCUGAUCAAAUAAAAGUUAAAAAAUUAAUAUGAUAAUAUAAGUAUUAGAAGAAUCAAACAUGAAUGUUAGUGGUAAAAGACAAAAUUACCCUUUUCUCCAUCCAAAGAAUGUGGGAUUUGGAAUACAUACACUACAAUAUGAUUUACCUGAUAUCAACAAUGACAAUCACGGAUGUUGGACAACUUAUACGACACAUCUAAUGAUUUAAGCGUAAUCCACCAAAAGCUUUUAUCUCAAACUAGUAGAGGCAAUCAUAAGACAUUAUCUCUUUUAUUUUAAGCGGUAAUUCAAACAAAUAAGUUACAAGAUGGAGAUAAUUAUUUACAGUUAUUGGUGAUUCAAAUCAAAUAGGUGCACAAAAGAGAAGAUCAGCAAGUACCACUAGAUUGGCCGAGUGAAAAGGCUGAUAGCAAACAUUAGCCCUUAACUACCACUUCUGAAGAGAAAAUGACAACAUGUUCCCAAUUGAAUUCUCCUCACCAAUGGAUCCAAUCACUUCAACUACAAGACUUUCAUUCGGCCUGUAGUUGCAUCCAACUGCAUUCAAUUAAUAGAUUUAAUUUAAUUUAACCAAAUUAAUUAGCAUAUAAAAAUUUGUAACCUUAAUUAUAUGAAACAUAACAUGUGGGCCCUAUUAAUUCCUUUUUUAAUCAUUCUUUUUAUUUUAACACUUGUUUUCAUUUAAUAAAUAGAAUAGGAAGAUUAGUAUGAAAACAUAAAAUAGAAGGAUAUACUCAAAGCCAAAACAGUUGCACGCCUAACAUGCUGCCCAUGUUUAUCAAAAUUUAACAGAUCAUACUAAUAACUCAUACAUAUAGAAUUAUAAGGGAAAAAAGAGUAGGGUUUUCUCCAUUCCGUUGAUGAAGAAUUCCAUUCUUCGCCUGAUUCCAGCAUAUAUAGAGAUACUUACCCGAUCUUGAUCCUUGAUAAGCAUAAGAAAGGAGGAAAUUUCCGGGUACAGGACUGCAUCGAUCUUCUCUGGUCUUUCAACUAUUGAAUACUUCGCAGCAACAACAACUGUUGCCCUGGUGAAUGCAGCAGGACUAGUUGUUCGCUCCACUAAAACAGUUGCAGCAGGGCAUGAACAAGUUUUGAAGGCUUGAUCACCUGAAAAGAUUAAAAUGAUCUUGGUUGAAGUCCCAGAUUAGAUAAAUACAACAACAACAAUGCGUACAUAUAGAUGGAUAUUAAUAUGACUCUGUUGAAUUUGAUCAAAAAAAGAAGGCGGAUGGAUGUAUCUCAAUGUCGGAUUUUAGAUUUUUCAGGCCUAUUUCGGGGAAUAGCCAGGAUGGCUACAAGUGUACUAGAAAAGGUUGUAACUGCUGCGAUAGCAAAGGCUGGAGAAUUCCCCCCUCCAAACAACUGGUCCCAUGGUCCACUUCAAGGAGACACCAGCAUCUAUUAUCAAUCAAACAACAUAAACCUCAUCUUUUAUUACCAAACCAACCCUAAAUAAAUAACUAACACAACUGUUGACAUCUCUCCUCUUCUCUUGGCUAAUAUGAAACAAGCCUUUAAUUUGGUGUCCCAAUCAAUAAAAAAUAUUUUAGGAAUUUCAUCCUUUCUUUUCUUCAAUGUCUGUUUCUUUGGUAACUAUAAAUGAAUGGAAUGGAUCUAUCAUUUCUAUUCUAUUCCAUUCUCAUCUUAACUUCACUUGCUUCAAGGAGUGUAAUAACAUUAUCUAUAAGUACAAAACUAAAUAAAAUGAAUUCUUGCCAAAUAUACAAAAUUUCUAAUUUUUUAGUAUAAACUUUAAUNGUGCUUUAAAUUAUUACAGAAAUAAAAGUAAUGCUUGAUUCCAUUCCAUUCCUUUCUGACAAACAAUCUUAAUUUUUUCACUGAGCCAUAAUACUUCAUUCUAUUCCCUCAAUUACAACAUACCAAACACUACCUUAGAGUAUGGAAAGAUGUUAGUCAAAUAUUUGGAGGGUGGUGGGGAGACUAGUCUAUGUCAUUGUAAUAAAGUCAUGCUGUGGAAAAAAAAUUCUCUUUGUUGGCUUAUUUAGAUCUGUGGUCAUUUUGUGUUGCUUUCUAGUGGAGGAGUUACUGAAAAUCUUUGAGAUCACGUGCCCAACAGCAUUGUAGCUGCCAAUCCAGUUGAACCCUUGUGCACAUGUCACAAAAUUAAUAAAAACUAUAUAUGUUACUAUUUGAUUGAUGGUUUUAAUUUUUAAUGUGAAAGUAAGGUGUAAGAUUAGGGUGAUGUGUACUUACAAAGCUAUAAGGAAAAAUACAAAGAAACGUGUGCUUUGGAACAAUGCAGACCAUGGGAUUGACUUCCCUUUGUAAUGGUAAAAUAGAGAUAACCCUCCAGCCAAAGUUAAGGCAACAGGAAAACCAAAGGACAAAUACCCCAAGGAAACUUUGGGGUCCGCUGGAUACUUGCAGAUAACUAUGGCUUUUCCUGUUUUGUAGUAAUUGUCAUUGCACCUUAAAGACGUAGAUUCCCUGCAAUUAAAAUUGAAUGAAGAGUUUAAACAAAGGGAAAAACCAAGAAAUCAAAAGCUUAUUUCAAAAAAGGCUGAAACUUAAGGAUGUUGUUAUUGUUGAUCAAUUACUUGUAUUUCAUAUUUCUAUUUUGGAAAAAGAACCAGAAAAAAGACACCCGUGUUUAUUAAAAAAAAACACCUAAAUUUAGUCUCUAAACGCGCUGCAAUUCCUACACCUCAAACAACCUAACAACAAGAGAAGAAGAAAGAAAGAAUACACCCAUCUGUGUAAAAAGACGUAAACACCCUCCUCAUCCUCAUCAUAAAAAAAUAGCCUAACAACAAUAGAAGAAGAAAGAAAGAGAAUACAAGUAACUAACAAGCACAUUGGGCCUAUGUUAAGGAGCCUUUAUCAUUUUUAUCAACAGAUUGAUUAGCUAAUCUUUCCAUUUCUGCCCUUUGAAAAGCUGGAGGCUCUGAACCAUAAAGUCCACCACAAAACUCCAAAUAACAAUAUUUACAAAGCACAAAACCUGAUUGAACUGCAUUGCUUUUCUAUUGACAAACAACUUCUGUUAAUCCAGGCAUCUUUAACUCCUUUGAACUCUGUUUGCAUGAUUGCAUUUCCUUCUCAUACUCCUUUGUUUUACUAGUAAACUCAUCAAUCUUUUAAAAAAAUCACAUCAAACUCAAAUUUACAAGAUGAACAAAUUAUGAAUAUACACAUGAAAACUCACAGAUAAACUCUAGCUUCUGUAUUUUCAAACUCAAUCAAUUUCUUUUGCAAUGUUGCUUCACAUAUAUGUACAGUUUUAACUUGAAAAUAAUACAAGUAUAUAAAGAAAUGAGUUAGAAACUUUUCAUUCAUAGUAUUAUAUUGACAAAAAAAGGUAAUUAAAUGCAUUGAUUUAGAUAUAAGUCAUACGUACAACAUCCCCUCUUGAAAAAUUAUGUCCAUGUAACACAGAAGAAACAUAUAUUGCUGUUGCACAUAUCCCACUAGGUUUUCUACAUGUCUGUAUAAUAUAUAUAAAAUAUAAAAAAUAAUUUGAUGUAAAAAAUAUAAAAAUAAUAAUAGUAUUCAUAAAGAGGGAGAACUAUGUGCACCUCGUGCACCGCUGAUAGUUGGUGGAUGUCUGAGACUCCAACUGAUAAAGAUACAAUCCAGCAAAAGCAAGAUGUGAGGGCUUCCAUGAAGCAAUUGAAUAGCCAAUCCCCUGAACCAAAUAAAAAUUUUAUUUAAGAAAUGAAGAAAAAGGGAUUUAACAAGAAUCGGAAGUUUGUUCCUUCAAUCAUAAAUCAAAUGGAGAAAAAAUAAGCCGGGAAGAAAACGGGAUUUAGAAAGAGGGGGAGCAAUGUACUCAAUCCCUUCUCCCUUGAUAUCUAGGACCCUUUCCAGGGCCUUUCCAGUGCUCUCUGCAACCUUCCCGAACCAUCACACGAAACAGAAGCAAUUGCCAACGCCAGAAUCGACAGGAAGGAGACGCCGGAGGCGCACAUUUUCAGGGCGGACUUGCCUGGGUUGAAGAAAGAGGAGGUAAAGGUGGAGGUUAAAGAAGGAAGGUUGUUGCAGAUAAGCGAAGAGAGGAGCAAGGAGCCUGAGGAGAAGAACGACAAGUGGCAUUGGGUUGAGAGGAGCUCUGGAAAGUUCUAAGGUCGUCGGACCUGAUGUUGCCGGCAUGGGGAGGCGAGGUGAGAUCUUUAUUCGUGAUCAAGGAUAGGUUGCAUAUGUUGAAUAGAGUUAUCAGUUGUUGGACGUGUAUAGCAGAGAUGGUAUCGUGAUUAGGGUUUGCAGAGAGAAGGAAGAAGAGAAUGAAGGGGAUCUUGAAGCGGGGCAUUAAAAAAUUUAAGAAUUUUGAGUGGAUUUCAUUUCCCCCUUUAAAGAACGCGCGUUUUGAGUAAAACAUAAAGCGACAUUCACAAAGGACGCGCAUUUUAGAUAAAGUGCCCUCCGUGUUUUUAUUUUUUUUACAUGAGACACUAAUUUAAGGUCACGCAAUAAUGCGUGACAUAAAUCCUUAAAUUUUUUGAAGAGACGACUCUUUUUGAUGUCACUCUCUUUUGCGGAACAUAAAUCAAUGAGUGUCGUGGUUUGCGCGUCGUAAAAGGCCUUUUUUCUAGUAGUGAAAGUUGUUUUGCUAUAAUUAAGGGAGAGAAUAUUAUGCUUCAUUUCAAAUAUAAAGGAUUAGGUUGAGAAAUGUUAAUAAGUUUAGUCAAGGGUAUAUAGUGUGUUCUUAAAAUUUCGAUUAUGAUUACGGCAUUCCUCUUCACAAUUCGAAUUUUGAGAACAUAGCAAAUAAAACAUUAUGCAUCGUGCCCCAUACGCUUCGGGUAUAGGAUCGAUUGAAAAUGCUUUAAUGUUUGACCAUUCUAAAAUUUUCCAAAUGUCGAGCGCAUUUAGAGGGAAAAGGGACUAGAAUUGGUUUUGACUAAAAUAAUUAAACAACUAUCAAAGGACAAUCCAAAGUUUGACGAGGAUUGGUCGCUUGUGAGUAGUUGGAAGCAUGGUAUUGGAUGGACCAUAUCGACAUUAUUAUGAAUAGAAAAGAUUCUAUUAAGAAUGAGUUGUCAUAUGGAAAUUAUGGAAAUGUUUCCAUAUUGGAUGGACCAUAUCGACAUCAUUACGAAUAGAUAAGAUUCUAUUAAGAAUGAGUUGUCAUAUGGAAAAUAUGGAAACGUGUCCAUAUUGGGAAUUGAAUAUUGAAAAUCUAUGUCUAGAUUAGAAACUUUUAUGCAAAAGGAUGUUCAAAGGAAUGUACUUUGAGUGAGAGACAUCAUAUCUAAGGAAUUGUCUUGUAACAAUGUCCAAUAGAGGACUUUGUAAUAUCAUUGGCAAUAGUCUUUGUGACUUUGGUGCAGUGACAUUACGAAAGGAUCAUUGCAUAGAAUGUUAGAAUCUAGCAUAUUUUAUAAGUAACAAGAAUUUGAUAUUCUCACACUUAUGAAAAAGGAUUUGGAGUUGUGAAAUGAGAAUGAUUGGAAAUGUGUUCAAUUUGAUCUAUUUCACAAAAGUAAGAACCAUAGGUAAACAUUGUGUGCAUGCUAAGAGCAUGGGACAAGUGUAAUAAUUCAAGUAAGAAGUUGAUUACCCGAAACGACAAAUAAUGAGUAAUCGAUAUGGUGAUAAAUAAAAGGAGUUUUAUUUAUACUCAAAGGUUUGAGGCAAAAUGGGAUUAGUAUUAUUCUUGUGUUUCACAUUUGCAUGUUUUGACUUCCAGAAUAAUUGAGUUUAUUAAGAAUAAUCGAAUUAUUCGAACGGGCCACAGUCGUUCAUAUGUUGGAAGUAGAUAUGAAUGAAGACUGUCGUGAAUUGGUGUGUGGAUUGUCUAAAAGAGUAUUAGACAUAAGCAAAUGUUUGCUGC